rnacentral:rRNA from 1 species
CUACCUAUAAGACUGGGAGUAACUUCUGGAAACCGGAGCUAAUACCGGAUAAUAUAUUGAACCGCAUGGUUCAAUAGUGAAAGACGGUUUUGCUGUCACUUAUAGAUGGAUCCGCGCCGCAUUAGCUAGUUGGUAAGGUAACGGCUUACCAAGGCAACGAUGCGUAGCCGACCUGAGAGGGUGAUCGGCCACACUGGAACUGAGACACGGUCCAG